GAUUAAAUAAAAAUAAUGUUCAAGCUUGCUAUAAUUUAUUUGCUGGGUUUCUUAGCUUUACAAAUUGUUAGUGGCGAUGAAGAUUCUCAUUGGUGCUACCAAAACAAACCUUUUAACAAUACGUCUCUUGAUACUACUACAAAAGAUGUUAGUAAUUUGGGCACCAUGUUCAUUUAUUACCAACUUCUUUUAAGCAAACAUACGACCGACACCGUACUGGAAAAAAAGAAACGUGAGUGUUGCUCUGGCUAUAUAGAAUCCGAUGGAAAAUGUAAACAAAUGGAGACAUUUUUUGAAAAAUAUUAUAUAUAUAUUUGUACAAUUACGGCCAUUUUUAUAUUUAUAGUCUUAGUUUUAAUUGUUGUCUAUAUUUGGAAAAAUUCUGAGGUAACCUAUAUUGUAAAAGACAGUGACCAACAUUCCCUGGAUACCGAAGUAAUUGUGUAAAUAAUACAUAAUUUUACAUUUUACAUUUUCUUUUUUUAAGCCUAUUAAUAAGCAUACAAUUAUGUUGUAAGUUAUUCAAUAAAUUUGAGCUUUAAAAUCUUUUAAUCAAA